UGUGGAGGACUGGCUUGAGGGCAGAGGUCAUGUGAAGAUUGAACAAAUAAAGGAAGCAGAACUAAGUGCAUAUCGCACACAGUUGAUGUGAGCCAAGUCCCGUAUGAGAGUAAAAACAGCUAGAGCCAAGGACACAUUGUCCUUGGCUCCAAGGUGUUAUCAAUGAUUAGUCCUGGGAACUUGCGGGUGAUGUAAUGCAGAAGUUGCUGGGUAAACCAAAUUGCUGUUACCAAUAAGGAGCUCAGCUUUUGCAAUAUGUAUGAACCUGAUUAGUCCUGUGCUAUAUAAAGAAAGACCACACCUAAUAAAGUUGAAGUACACUGAUCACUCAUAUUGAGCGUCUGGGUCUUCCCUCCGUCGGCUCCUCCCGUGCAAGUUUCCAACAAAUGGCGCCCGAACAGGGACCCUGCCGAUCAGGGACUCGGUGAUUAAAAACUCAGGAGUCGACAGAGUGCUAGAGACAGCUGGUCCUGCUGUGCUAAAGGCGACGAGACACAAAAGGGGGUCUACGUGCCAGAGUUACAGAGGAGGUGGAGAGGACACAAACAAAGGGGGUCCGUGCCCAGGACAAGACGGGGUCCUGCCAGAAAGUGUCGCCGCAGGUCUUGCAAAGGUUGCAACGAGAAUGCCAAGCUAGUAGAGUAUGGUGUCCCAACUGCAAAAGCAGUAAACAUGAUGGAGCGGCUUGCUGGAAGGCUGGUUCGGGAAACGCCCAAAGAAGCAGGACGAGCCGCCCCGCGACGACACAAAAGGCGGCCUUCACCACAACAACUCAGCAACCCCCGCAGUUAACACAACCACCUCAGCCGGCGCCCAGCUCCACUCCGAACGGCAUGAACCCCUUUGUCUUCGACCAGCCACCAGAGGGAGUCUCGGACUGGACUUGGCAACAGCAGUAGACGCCACCUUAUUGGAUACAAAGCCAACAAGAAUCCGGACGAAUGUCUAUGGACCAGUAACUAUUAAUCAUGAGCCGAUAGGUGCCUUACUGAUUGGAAGAUCGUCCGCUACAAUGAAAGGAUUACAAGUUUUGACAGGAUUGAUCGACAAGGACUAUUUCGGGGAAAUACAAAUUGUGGUUUCAGCAAUGUUUCCACCUAUGCACAUACCACAAGGAUCGAGAAUAGCUCAACUUAUUCCGCUUCCCCACCUGACUGAAGGGGUGGCACCAGCGAAAGAGCAACCACGAGGCUAUGGUGCUUUUGGUUCCACUGGAAGUGCAGUAUUACUGACUGUCGGAAUGCAUCAAAGGCCCCGACAAACCGUGACUGUAAAGUAUAAAGAAGAAUCUAUACGCACUAAUGCCUUAUUGGACACUGGAGCGGAUGUAUCAAUAAUUAGCACUAAGAUUUGGCCCCAACAUUGGCCAACCCGAGAGACCAGCUCUAUGGUAGCUGGGGUAGGCGGGGUCACCCUCGCCUGAAAAUCAUCGACGCUACAAUGGACUAUAGGGAACAAGGUGGUUAAUUGCUCCGUUUCCAUUUUACCCCUACCUGAAGGAGUGCAAGCAUUAAUAGGGCGCGAUAUCCUUGCCCAGAUGGGUAUGGUGCUUACCUCGGAACACCCUUUAUAGCACCGGCCAUUGCCUGGACUUUCCCAAUCCCACUCAGCUGGAGGACUGAUCAGCCUGUGUGGGUAGAGCAAUGGCCGCUUAAACGGGAAAGUCUCAUUCAAGCACAUGAACUAGUAAAGCAACAGUACAAACAAGGUCAUCUAAGAUUAUCUACCAGCCCUUGGAAUACCCCAAUAUUUGUGAUCAAGAAAAAAUCCGGCAAAUACAGACUUUUACAUGAUCUACGUGCUGUAAACAGACAGAUGCAUGACAUGGGUGCUUUACAACCGGGGUUACCCAAUCCAGCAAUGAUCCCAGAAGGCUGGCACCUGCUAAUCAUAGAUUUAAAGGACUGUUUCUUUACUAUAGCCCUCCAUGAAGAUGAUAAACAGCGAUUUGCAUUUACACUCCCUGCUAUCAAUAGAGAGGGGCCAGACCAAAGAUUUGAAUGGACAGUACUACCGCAGGGUAUGCGAAACUCACCAACCCUCUGUCAACUCUAUGUCGAUGCGGCACUUCAACCGUUACGUCAACAGUGGCCAGAGACCAUAAUAUAUCACUACAUGGACGAUAUAUUGUUGGCACAAAAAAAACCCCUUUUCUCCAGAACAAAAAUUUGAUCUAAUCAUACAAUUAAAGAAAAAGGAACUUGUGGUGGCUCCGGAAAAGGUACAGGAAUCCAGCCCCUGGCAGUAUCUAGGUUGGCAUAUUUCGAAUGCCACCAUCAGACCACAGAAAUUGACAAUCAGGACUGACAUAAGAACACUCAAUGAUGCUCAAAAACUAUUAGGAGACCUCCAAUGGAUCCGUCCGGUUGUCGGCAUUCCUAAUGAACUUUUAAAUCUGCUACGCCCCUUGCUGAAGGGAACAGACCCAGCGGCUGCCGUCACGCUCACAGAGGAACAGCAACGGGUACUCCAGGAAAUUGCAUCGCUAAUUACUACGCGUGCUACGCACCGACGCCUGGAAAAUCAGCCACUUGAUCUUACUAUUUUAUGUGGCCCACAAUACCUAAUGGGAGCCAUUACACAACACAAAAUAAAAACGGGGGAAAAAAGAGGGUUGGCGGAACCCAUUGUACUAGAAUGGAUAGCACCACCGUUACAACCAAAACGAACUAUUCAAGAAAAAAUUUCAACGCUGGCCGAACUCAUUAGGAAAGGAAGAAACCGAAUAUUGCAAAUUGAGGGAGCACCACCGAAUACCAUUUGGCUGCCAUUGAAACCCAACGACCUAGAAUGGUCAGGCGGUUGUUGAACGAGCAAACAGCACUGUCAAACAAUACAUAGAAAAGUUUAAGGAUAUCCUAGACGUCAAGGAAAAAAUUGAUAAGACCCUAUUCGUACUAAACUAUUUGUGUGUAUUCGGGGAUGACAAAGAACCACCAGCAAUCAAACAUCAUAUAGAAGAAGAAAAGGCUGGUAGCCGGACCUUUAGAGUAAAAUACCGGGACAUGAAAACGGGAGUAUGGAUAGGUCCAGCAGAGGUAAUAUAUGUAGGGCGCGGUUAUGUGUGUAUAUCUUCUCCCACAGGACCGGUUUGGGUUCCCAGCAGAUUUACGAAACCUGUGAUAGACGAAGGAGCGACUGUGGACAAAGACUAUGCUCGGAAUCGGACAGACAACUCUGCGCAAAAUUGUCCUAUUGAUCAUGAUAAUUGCUGAAGGGUCUACAAUGUUGUCUCAGAUUGAUACUCAACAGAAUAUGUGGGUUACAUGGGCUAACGAAACUAACCAGCGUACCUUUUGUUUGUCUCUAGCCUCAGGAAGCGAUCCCUUCCGGACGUGUCUAUUUGGGGUGCCUAUAGGAACUCCAAAGGAACUGGUCAAGCUGUUAGGCCCGUACUCAACUUCGCUUACUCUCUUAAGUGGGUCCUUCUCGAGCAACCUCUCAGACGGAGUGGUUGCUGCACUGCAACAUCUUAAUAUAUCGUUGCCAUGGGAUCCACAAGAAUUAGAUUUGUUAGGGUCAGUAGCAGUAGGAAACACUAGUGAUAAUUGGACACAAACCUGUUUUAUACUAAAUAAAGGUAAACAAAAUAAGACUCAUUGGACGAACAUAAUGUCUAGAACUUUAGGGUUUAACGCCAACGGUAAUUAUUGUGGGUGGAAUAACUCCAAUAAUAGUGAGCCACUUGGGGCCUAUGGAGUAAAUGAUCACAACUCAAUGUGGCCCAUGAGUGCCCCUAAGGCACUGCCUCCUGGUAUUUUUCUAAUUUGUGGUGACAGAGCAUGGCAAGGUGUGCCAGGAAACGCUUAUGGGGGACCUUGUUAUAUAGGACGCCUAACACUCUUUGCCCCUGACUUACAUGAUCAGCGUUGGUCAAAUCUGACUGCAGCAAUCAAACAUAGAAGAAGUGAGAAUCGUCGAGGCAAGCGUGAAUUGAAAAAACUAGGUUCAGAUUGCGCUGAUGAUGUAGAAUUAUGGGGGCCUGCGGAAAGGUUUUUCGCCGCAGCUUUAGCUCCUAACGUUGCAGUUGCGCAUGCCAUGUCUAAUCUAAAUAAACUUGCUUGUUGGGCUGUUAAACAAUCAAA